GUAGGUGAACCUGCGGAAGGAUCAUUACCGAGAGAGAGGCCUGGCGUCUCCGGGGGCUUCGGCCCCCAACUCUUCGCCCUCUGUUUACAUACAUUCGUUUCUUUGGCGGACCACGGGGUUGUCUCCGCGCAGGCUCACAUGCCUAUGAGCGUCCGUCAAAGGCAAAUUCUAUUCUGUCCAUGAUUGAUGUUCCGAGUAUAUACAGAAAUUGUUAAAACUUUCAACAACGGAUCUCUUGGUUCCAGCAUCG
rnacentral:misc_RNA from 1 species